rnacentral:rRNA from 1 species
AUUGAACGCUGGCGGCAGGCCUAACACAUGCAAGUCGAGCGAGCGGCGGACGGGUGAGUAAUGUCUGGGAAACUGCCCGCUGGGGGGGGGUAACUACUGGAAACGGUAGCUAAUAACGCCUACCAUCACAUGUGCACAGAUGGCAUCAGCUAGUAGGUGGGGUAACGGCUCACAUGGGCGCCGAUCCCUAGCUGGUCUGAGAGGAUGACCAGCCACCCGGGAACUGAUACACGGUCCAGACUCCUACGGGAGGCAGAAGUGGUGAAGAUUGCACAAUGGGCGAAAGCCUGAUGCAGCCAUGCCGCGUGUGUGAAGAAGGCCUUCGGGUUGUAAAGCACUUUCAGCGGGGAGGCGUUACCCGCAGAAGAAGCACCGGCUAACUCCGUGCCAGCAGCCGCGGUAAUAC